UACGUAGGGUGCGAGCGUUUAACGGAAUUACUGGGCGUAAAGCGUGCGCAGGCGGUUCGUUGUGUCGGCGGUGAAAGCCCCGGGCUCAACCUGGGAAUGGCCGUUGAAACUGGCGAACUGGAGUGUGGCAGAGGGGGGUGGAAUUCCGCGUGUAGCAGUGAAAUGCGUAGAGAUGCGGAGGAACACCGAUGGCGAAGGCAGCCCCCUGGGCUGACACUGACGCUCAGGCACGAAAGCGUGGGGAGCAAACAGGAUUAGAACCUACCUAC
rnacentral:rRNA from 1 species